rnacentral:rRNA from 1 species
CGGACGGGUGAGUAACGCGUGGGUAACCUGCCUUGUACUGGGGGACAACAGUUGGAAACGACUGCUAAUACCGCAUAAGCGCACAGCUUCGCAUGAAGCGGUGUGAAAAACUCCGGUGGUACAAGAUGGACCCGCGUCUGAUUAGCUGGUUGGUGAGGUAACGGCCCACCAAGGCAACGAUCAGUAGCCAGCCUGAGAGGGUGAACGGCCACAUUGGGACUGAGACACGGCCCAA